rnacentral:lncRNA from 1 species
AGGCAUCUAUUUUGCAAACAUUUGACUAUAAAAUGCUAUAACUAUAUCAUAUUGAAACAUAAAAACAUAAACUGAGACGAAACAGAAACACAUAGAUCGUCAAUGAAACUGAGAAAUUAUCACGUGGAAAAUACCAAAUAUUAUGUAGAGCUAGAUGGUGAAGAAUAUCCUGCCAAUGUCAUGAUCCAUAGCAGUUAUACUACAACAUUUCUAACAAUUGAAUGUGCCGAGCCAAGAUAAAAGGCUUAAGGCACUUCUAAAUAACAAUUGAAAAGCACUUUUUAAUCAUGAAUAAUACUCAAUAGCAAGUGCAUACCAAUGUCUAAACCCAAAGCUAUGCCUUCAUUACAUGACUUUGACAUGUCACUUUUGCCAAAAAGCUGAUAGAAUAUAAUAACCGCUCAUAAUCAUGAUGCAGUACCAUCAAAUGACAUACACAACUUCCCUAAAUAUUAGUGAUGAGGCGUUACCAUUUAAAAAAAAAAAUCCAGUGUUUCUGCAAAUUUUAAAUAAAUUUUGAUCUAAAAAUAAUUUUCUGGCGAAAAGCGCACACUAUCAUAGAGCAUACCUUCAUCAAGGAAUAUCUGGUAAAUACAUAUCACAGGAAAAUUUUAGCUAAAAAAAUAAUAUCACAGGACAAGCUGAUAAGUACGUAAUGUUUUUGCAGCCAUUACAUAACAUUAAGCAUAUACAAUUCAUUCUUCCAAAGUCUAUUACAUCCAAAAUUUACUAUACAUCAGCCACACAUGAACAGAUCUUUCAAGCAUCAAACAGUUAAGUUAAACGUGGCUAAAAAUAAUUGAAACGGUAAAAAUACUCAUGCUUUAGCUAACACAGAAGUCAAUACUUACCUUCAUUAGAU